GACGAACGCUGGCGGCGUGCUUAACACAUGCAAGUCGAACGGAAAGGCCCAGCUUGCUGGGUACUCGAGUGGCGAACGGGUGAGUAACACGUGGGUGAUCUGCCCUGCACUCUGGGAUAAGCCUGGGAAACUGGGUCUAAUACCGGAUAUGACCAACUGUCGCAUGGUGGUUGGUGGAAAGCUUUUGCGGUGUGGGAUGGGCCCGCGGCCUAUCAGCUUGUUGGUGGGGUAAUGGCCUACCAAGGCGACGACGGGUAGCCGACCUGGGAGGGUGAGCGGCCACACUGGGACUGAGACACGGCCCAGACUCCGACGGGAGGCAGCAGUGGGGAAUAUGGCACAAUGGGCGCAAGCCUGAUGCAGCGACGCCGCGUGAGGGAUGACGGCCUUCGGGUUGUAAACCUCUUUCACCAGGGACGAAGCGUGAGUGACGGUACCUGGAGAAGAAGCACCGGCCAACUACGUGCCAGCAGCCGCAGUAAUAC
rnacentral:rRNA from 1 species